rnacentral:lncRNA from 1 species
UUCAGGAAAUUAUAAGGAAGCAAAGACCAGUUUUCGGUUGCUGCAUGGUCGAACGUCAUAGAGUCACGAAUCGGUGGUGCGGUGGUGGUAGUCAUGUCACCCAAUCAACCAAACGGCGGACCACAAGAAAUCGACGUGGAGGAGCCAGGAGAAACGGAUUAUCGGUUGCCGGGCAUCAUCGUAUUUCUAACCGAGUGAAAUCGCAAGCAAAA